rnacentral:rRNA from 1 species
UACGGGGGGGGCAAGCGUUGUUCGGAAUUACUGGGCGUAAAGGGCUCGUAGGCGGCCAACUAAGUCAUACGUGAAAUCCCCCGGCUUAACCGGGGAACUGCGUCUGAUACUGGAUGGCUUGAGUUCGGGAGAGGGACGCGGAAUUCCAGGUGUAGCGGUGAAAUGCGUAGAUAUCUGGAGGAACACCGGUGGCGAAGGCGGCGUCCUGGACCAACACUGACACUGAGGAGCGAAAGCCAGGGGAGCAAACGGG